GAUGAAGAACGUAGCGAAAUGCGAUAAGUAGUGUGAAUUGCAGAAUUCAGUGAAUCAUCGAAUCUUUGAACGCACAUUGCGCCCCUUGGUAUCCCGAGGGGCAUGCCUGUUCGAGCGUCAUUUCACCACUCAAGCCUGGCUUGGUGUUGGGCGACGUCCCCUUUGGGGACGCGCCUCGAAACGCUCGGCGGCGUGGCUCCGGCUUUAAGCGUAGCAGAAUCUUUCGCUUUGGAAGUCGGGGCCCCGUCUGCCGGAAGACCUACUCGCAAGGUUGACCUCGGAUCAGGCAGGGAUACCCGCUGAACUUAAGCAUAUCAAUAAGCGGAGGA
rnacentral:misc_RNA from 1 species